AAAAAGCUGCCACAUAGACUUCCAACCAAGUAAUAAAGCUACCCCAGACAAUAAAAAUAUAUUACCCAGAGCCAGCAAGCCUCUGUCAAAGAAGAGAAGCACCCCCAGAAACGAGAAUAGGAUGCUGAAACCUAUUAGACCUAUGCCCACCUUUUUCAUCUCACUCAUUUCGUUCGCCAUUGUUCCACCAGCUUAUGGAGUCGUAUAGCAGUUAAUGGACUUUUAUAAACCUCAAAAUUGAAUUGAAUCUCG
rnacentral:misc_RNA from 1 species